ACUCCUACGGGAGGCAGCAGUAGGGAAUCUUCCACAAUGGACGAAAGUCUGAUGGAGCAACGCCGCGUGAGCGAUGAAGGCCUUCGGGUCGUAAAACUCUGUUGUCAGGGAAGAACAAGUACCGGAGUAACUGCCGGUACCUUGACGGUACCUGACCAGAAAGCCACGGCUAACUACGUGCCAGCAGCCGCGGUAAU
rnacentral:rRNA from 1 species